rnacentral:lncRNA from 1 species
AAUUUCUCUGCAUUUCUUAGGAGUAGUCUACUUGUAAUCCUUUACUUUUCAGCACUUACUGCUUUUCCUAGGAGUAGAAUUAGACUAGAUCAACCGAGUCUGUAUGCCUUCAGGCACACUCGACCCUUGUACUUUUUCCACCAAUCAAAUUCAAUAUAUAUAAAGGUAACUCGGUUCUUUCGGCCGACCAACUACUGUGUUUUUCAUUCAUUCGGCUUCUUCGGCCGACUCCAGCUUUCACACAGUUCGUACAUUCGGCUCAUCUAGCCGAACCGAUUCUACAGUAAAAGUUUCGAACUCGGCUGAUCCGAUCCCUCAUCAGCCGAAUCGCUUGAUCCAGUCGAAGGGCGCAAACUUCGAGGGUCACCAAUCGUAGUCGUUCCGUAUCCCUACGCUAUUCCCGAAGGAGAUCUUUGAUCAGGUCAAGGAUCAGGAUGUUCGGCUCCCAACAACUAUUAAGCUCGAUGGGGCUUUUUGUCUUUGGAUGGAGCUUCAACUAAAACUAUUAUAAAUAGUUCUUAUUAAGUACUUUUCACUAAUUUUUCAGAUACGACCAUAAAAAUGAGAUCGGGUGAGACAAUGAUUAUUAAUUAGAUAGCAGCAUACUGGUAAUGUCUAUAAUUUUGUCUUAAGUUGACAUCCUAUUGUAUUUUGCGCUAUCAUUUUGGACAUGUAUUAGGCCAUAUAUAUUGGAAAUAAAAGUUGUAUUUCCUUGCUACUUGUUAAGUUGAAAAUAUAACUUAUUUAAAAUUUUUUAUUUGUGUUAAAAUGCAAUGGUUUAUGAUUAUUAAUUCGUGAUAUUAAAUUUUGAAGCUUUAAAUACGUGAGUUAUUUUGUAAAAAAUAUAAUUGCACUAGGAUGUUUGAUAUUACGCCGGGAAUACUUAAACUUUCCAUCUUAACUAUGUGGCGGUUCUGCAACAAUUGCUUCAUGAUGGUGCGUUCGCUGGUAGGAUUCUGUACAAAAGUUUACAUGCUGUUUCCAUUCUAUAAGGAUGCAUUUGGUUCGGAUUAUGCUGGCAGGAUUACAAGUAAUCUUGCCAGGAUUACUGUCUUUAGUUCAUCCAAUAUGUAAUCUUGGUUAAUAGUGUAGCAUUACAAAUGAUGCAGAAUUACACUGAAAAUAUUAAUAAGCGGGGGCUAGGUAUGUCGUAUUGCUGAUGGCGGCUUAUCUUGCAUUUAUAUUUGGCUAAAUUACAGAAAACUUCUCUGUCAAAACUCGAUUUUUCACUUUUCUCCCUAUCAUUUAAAAACCUACACUUUGCCCCCUUAUAAAAUGAAAAAUGUGCACUUCACCCCCUACCGUUAGUGAUCCGUUCGGAUUCCGUUAUAAAAUAUUUUUUUAUACCAAAAAUAUCCCUCCGCCCUCUUCCAUGUUGCUCCACCUCGCCGCCUUGCCCUCCCCCACUGCCUCGCCCUCGCCCAUAUCUCUGUCUGCGCCCACAAACACCCCUUCGCCCUCCUCCACCGCCUCGCCUUCGCCCUCGUUGGCCUUGCCCACUUUUCCAUCCACGUCUACCUCGAUUUCCUUCCUACUGUCGCCGAAAUCGAGGGGCGGCGAGAGUGCAGGAGGAGAAGGGGAGCAGGUGGAGAAGAAAAUGGAGAGAAACCGCGGCCGAUCGAGGCGGCGGUUGAGGAAGAUGAUGGAGGAGACGAAAAUGGUAAGGGGCAAAUGGUCAUUUUAUCAUCACAAUACACACCGUACCCCCUGUGAACAUUUUUUAUUUUACAAGAGGGCAAAGUGUAGGUUUUUAAAUGAUAGGGGGGAAAGUGAAAAAUCGAGUUUUGACAGGAGGGUUUUAUGUAAUUUAGCCUUUAUAUUAAAUUACAAAUUUAUCCUUCCGAACCCCCAAACCUUUACAAUACGCUCAUUUUCAAAAUUGUAAUUUCAAUUUUUAAAUUCUCAAAUUUUAAAAUUUAUAAUUUAAAUUUUAACUUUUAAAUUUUAAAUUUCAAUAUUUAAAUUUUAAAUUUUAAAUUUUNAAUGAUGACAAUUUUACUGCGCACUGGGAGCAUCGGAAGAAAUUCUAAGUAACCACCGCGCGAAUUAAGGGAAGUUACAGUAACCGCAAACAGUUCCAAGCGGUUCCAAUCGGCUGAAAGUGGCCUGAGAAAACAGGAAUAGUGGCCGAUCGUGAAUAGGGAAUAACUGAUCAAUAGGGGCAAUCUAUAAAUAGGCCAAUAACGCCUUGAAAAGAGGUCUUUUUUCCGAGAACAGAAGACCACUUUUAUUUUCUUAGCAAUUUCUCUGCAUUUCUUAGGAGUAGUCUACCUGUAAUCCUUUACUUUUUAGCACUUACUGCUUUUCCUAGGAGUAGAAUUAGACUAGAUCAACCGAGUCUGUAUGCCUUCAGGCACACUCGACCCUUGUACUUUUUCCACCAAUCAAAUUCAAUAUAUAUAAAGGUAAUUCGGUUCUUUCAGCCGACCAACUACUGUGUUUUUCAUUCAUUCAGCUUCUUCGGCCGACUCCAGUUUUCACACAGUUCAUACAUUCGGCUCAUCUAGCCGAACCGAUUAUACAGUAAAAGUUUCGAACUCGGCUGAUCCGAUCCCUCAUCAGCCGAAUCGCUUGAUCCAGUCGAAGGGCGCAAACUUCGAGGGUCACCAAUCGUAGCCGUUCCGCAUCCCUACGCUAUUCCCGAAGGAGAUUUUUGACCAGAUCAAGGAUCAGGAUGUUCGGCUCCCAACAACUAUUAA